CACUCCUACGGGAGGCAGCAGUGGGGAAUAUUGCACAAUGGGCGCAAGCCUGAUGCAGCCAUGCCGCGUGUAUGAAGAAGGCCUUCGGGUUGUAAAGUACUUUCAGCGGGGAGGAAGGCGAUAAGGUUAAUAACCUUGUCGAUUGACGUUACCCGCAGAAGAAGCACCGGCUAACUCCGUGCCAGCAGCCGCGGUAAUACGGAGGGUGCAAGCGUUAAUCGGAAUUACUGGGCGUAAAGCGCACGCAGGCGGUCUGUCAAGUCGGAUGUGAAAUCCCCGGGCUCAACCUGGGAACUGCAUUCGAAACUGGCAGGCUAGAGUCUUGUAGAGGGGGGUAGAAUUCCAGGUGUAGCGGUGAAAUGCGUAGAGAUCUGGAGGAAUACCGGUGGCGAAGGCGGCCCCCUGGACAAAGACUGACGCUCAGGUGCAAAAGCGUGGGGAGCAAACAGGAUUAGAAACCCCUGUAGUCCCAUGA
rnacentral:rRNA from 1 species